GUUCCGUUUCCCCCUCUUUCUUCCGUUCCCUUCUGCGAAGAAGAACCAAGGCGCCGCUUUCUUUCCUUGACAGCACAGCUGGUCAAUCGCUCCUUUGGAGCAGAAACCUCAGCCCCUUUCCUCAUCUUCGCCCUCCUCUGUUUUCACAAUGCAAGAAGAACGCCGACCGCAGAGACGAUAGGGUUCCGUUCCCUUCUGCAAAGAAGAAGAAGAAGGAGACCAGAUAGCGGAGUUGAUGACCGUCCACUUCCUCCCUUCGCCGAUGGAGAGGAAAGAGGGAUCUCCCUCCUUCGAUUUCGCGCAAGAGGAACAGAAUUCUCCCAACGGCAAGCUUCUAUUCGUUCUUCUUGCAGAUCUCUUCCCUUCUUGCAGAAGAACGAAGAGACAACCCCUCUUCUUGUUCGCGUAAGAGGAAGGAGGAGAGCAGAGAGUGCGACCUCCCUCCUCUGGUCGAUCUCGCAGGUCUCCAGCAGUCGCCCCUUUACCUGAAGCUCGCUGCCGCCGUCGUCCAGCGGUGAAGAGCGCCGACCGCAGUCGAGAACGGAGGCCGAGGCAGUCAAAGCUGCAAAGAGGAAAGAGCUCCCAACA
rnacentral:lncRNA from 1 species